rnacentral:misc_RNA from 1 species
UGGUUCUGGCAUCGAUGAAGAACGCAGCAAAAUGCGAUAAGUAAUGUGAAUUGCAGAAUUCAGUGAAUCAUCGAAUCUUUGAACGCACACUGCGCCCCGUGGCAUUCCGCGGGGCAUGCCUGUUCGAGCGUCGGUUGACUCCCUCCGCCCGGUGCUCCUCGCGCCGGGCGGGCUUUGGGCGGGCGUCUUCCCCGGGCUCGUCCCCAGGGAAGACGCGCCCUUAACGUGUCGGCGGCGGCGGCAAGCCCUAGACGUACCGACCGAGGCGUCUUUACCGGGGCUCUGUCGUAGCCUGCCUGUUUUGCGCCGAGAGCGCGGGCGCCCCCCGCGCCCUCGGGCCACGACCGUGUUCUGGCCUCGGAUCAGGUAGGGAUACCCGCUGA